rnacentral:rRNA from 1 species
AAGAAUAGUGUUAUUGUACCUACUAAAGAAAUAAAACUCAUUAUCAAAGGUAAAGGUAUGAAAAGAGGAAGAAGUCGAGCUAGAAGAAAACCUGUAGCAACCAUAGUUGUUACGUGUAUAAGAGCCGAAAUAGGAGUGGGUCCUUCCAUAGCAUUAGGUAACCAUACGUGA